GAUGCUCGCUACGACCGGCGCGUGUAGACGCCGUGGAGCGCGUCGCCCAUGCCCACCCCUAGGCACGAUGACACACCGCCGUCGUUGGAUCUCUACGCGGUAGAUCCACUCUGGUUCCCCUCGUCACCGUCGCCACGUCUCCACCACGACUACGACAAGGACGACCGCUAGGGCCUGCCUUGCCUAGCGGGCGAGGGGUGCCCCUGUCCCCAUCCCCUUCCUCUCUCCACCCCACCUGGCGUCAUCUCCUGAUCGCGAGAUCCGCUCGCUCGCCCACCCGCCCCAUGGCACCUCAUGGCCGCUCAAGCGAGGAUCCACCUGUCGGGCGUCUUCCCGACCCACGGCAAUCGUGCAUCACCAUGCGCCGUUGAAGGAUCCAUCCUUCGACCUACGCUUAUCUAACGCCUCGAUCUCCUCCAUCCCAUUGCCUCACUGCCGUGACGAGACAACCACAUACCUACAAAUACGGGAGUUGCUCCAACAAUGGGGUCGAGAGGAGGACGAGGAUCUCCAGAUGGCGCUCCGCAUGAGCCUCCAGGGCUCCCCACGUCGUUCAGCCCUCACCAUUGUGAAGUGUCAGGAGCUCUCCAAACAGCUCUUCUACACAUGCCUCGCAAGGACGAGGUCCUUUAUACCAUCGUCCCUGCUAGCGAGACAGGAGGUCCCAGUGGAGCGGCUAAAGCCGAGGGUCGAGGCACAGGAGAGAGGGAACUAGGCUCUCAAGUAAAAGUACCCGAUCGGACUAAACCCGCAAGAGAAGGUGAAGCUGGAGAAGGAGCACAUGUGGUUGUUCAUGGAUGACAGCAUCAAGGACCUCGCCAACAUUUCCAUGGAGUAGAUCAACGCCACCGAGCUCACCAAGAACGAUGUCGACAUCCGGUUCAAGUGUACAUCCACUCUGCGCCUGCUGCAAUGCUGAUUUAAUUGUUGCUCUUAACACAGCCAUUUGCGAUUCAGUUUUUGACAACUCUGAUAUUUAGUCCUUGAUGCACUAUUAGAUGAUUGUGUCGUGGUAUUUGAGAUAUGUGAGCCUCAUGAUGCAGUAUAGUUGCAGGAACCUGCUAACACAGCUUCACUUCUAACUCCCUCUCACUGUAUUUCCCUUUCUUUGUAGCUAUAGCCUUUUACCAAACUUGUCACUCAUUGGAAAUUUGGCCUACAACAUGAAUAACUUGGGUUCAA